GGAAUCUUGCGCAAUGGGCGAAAGCCUGACGCAGCAACGCCGCGUGGGGGAUGAAGGCUCUCGGGUCGUAAACCCCUUUCAGCGGGGACGAUUGUGACGGUACCCGCAGAAGAAGGACCGGCCAACUACGUGCCAGCAGCCGCGGUAAUACGUAGGGUCCAAGCGUUGUCCGGAUUUAUUGGGCGUAAAGAGCUCGUAGGCGGUUUCGUAAGUCGGAUGUGAAAACUCAGGGCUCAACCCGGAGACGCCAUCUGAUACUGCGAUGACUGGAGUCUGGUAGGGGAACACGGAAUUCCUGGUGUAGCGGUGAAAUGCGCAGAUAUCAGGAGGAACACCGAUGGCGAAGGCAGUGUUCUGGGCCAGUACUGACGCUGAGGGACGAAAGCGUGGGGAUCAAAC
rnacentral:rRNA from 1 species